GUUGGACAAUCUGGAGAGAGGCGCCUGACGGCGUCCACCGAAGGAGAAAUCCCGAACCGCAUUCGCGGUUGGGGAGAAGCUCUCAGGUAACCGCGACAGAUGGGGGCAG
rnacentral:ncRNA from 2 species